rnacentral:rRNA from 1 species
UACCAGCACCCCGAGUGGUCGGGACGAUUAUUAGGCCUAAAGCAUCCGUAGCCGGUUCUCUAAGUCCUCCGUUAAAUCCAUCUGCUUAACAGAUGGGCUGCGGAGGAUACUAUAGAGCUAGGAGGCGGGAGAGGCAAGCGGUACUCAGUGGGUAGGGGUAAAAUCCGUUGAUCCAUUGAAGACCACCAGUGGCGAAGGCGGCUUGCCAGAACGCGCUCGACGGUGAGGGAUGAAAGCUGGGGGAGCAAACCGGAUUAGAUACCCGGGUAGUCCCAGCUGUAAACGAUGCAGACUCGGUGAUGAAUAGGCUUAGUGCCUAUUCAGUGCCGCAGGGAAGCCAUUAAGUCUGCCGCCUGGGGAUACGGUCGCAAGACUGAAACUUAAAGGAAUUGGCGGGGGAGCGACCACAAGGGGUGAAGCCUGCGGUUC